AGGCCGUUAGGAACUCAUCGUUGAGCGGGAUGAUCUCGGGAGUUUCGACGAUGCCCCUCACUCUAUAUCAUCAUGAUAUAUAUAAAUAUAUAUGUAUAAUACGAAAAGAAGAAUGAAUUAAGAAUACCA
rnacentral:ribozyme from 16 species